CUGGAGCUUGAAAAAACGCUCUGGAAUGGGCGAGAUUCUUUGCUCUGUUGGGGGGGAAAAAAAGGCAAAAAAAAACAACCAAAAAGUCAGUAAGUCCAUUGUAAUUGGAAAAAGGUAAAGGCUUCAAAACGUUCUCUUAACAUAAGCGAUGUUUAAAGAAUUAAAUGUAUUUAUCUGUAUGUCUCUGUAACAGUAAACUUAACUAUGACAAAUGAAACUGAGAUUCUGCAGCAGAACUAGAAUGGGAGCGAGUGCUUCUUAACAGAAGCUAACUAGCAAACUGUUAGUGGGCUCUGUACCUCUGGCUGUGUCCUGUUCCUUUACUUUGAACCUGUUUACCUCUGAAAAAUUUCAUUUAAGAACACGAGUAAGGAACAAGCUGAACGCUGCUGAAGGUGUAGGUGGUCCCGGGAGCUCUGAGGAGUCCCUUCCACCACAAACAAUUCUGGAACUGACCUUAAUUAGCAUGGAGAAGAAAAGGCUCUGAAGAGACCUUGUUGUGUCCUUCCAGUACCUGAAGGGAGUGUAUAAAAAGGAGGGGGAAUGGCUGGUUACAUGGAGCGAUAGGAGAUGGGGGAAUAGUUUAAAACUAAAAGGGGGAGAUUGAGGGUAGAUAGGAGGAGGAGGACAGCACAGAGGGUGGUGAGGUGCUGGAACAGGUUGCCCAAGGAGGUUGCGGAUGCCCCAUCCCUGGAGCUGUUCCAGGCCAGGCUCAGUGUGGCUCCGGGCAGCCCGGUCUGCUGGUUGGCGGCCCUGCGUGUAGCAAGGAGUUGGAACUACGUGAUUGUAGUGGUCCUUUUUGAACCAGGCCAUUCUACCCUUCUACUCUACACCUCUUCAGUGCUGUUACAACGUUCCUGCGCUGUUACAACAGUACUCAGCUAUGUCAAGGAGAGCAGGGGCUCACAAGCGGAGCUCUCAGAAGAUGCACGAGCACGUGUGGCUGAAGUAGUUCCCAUUCACCUCUCUCUCCCUGAGUUCUGAAGUGGCCCUUGAAUGCUAUAUUUGCAGUGCACCUUCUAACAAACGCUGUAUAACCAGGAAGUCUAGAUCCCACGCUUAUGGUGUAGAACCUGAACGCUUCCAGCCCUCAACGUGCUCUCUGUGAGCCUGAAGGUCGCUCUGCCUUUUUGUUCCAGCAGCUGGCCUGAGGUCAAUGAGCACAGCCUGAAAAAAAGCCUCUCAGGUUGCAGCACCGUCCCUCCCCUCCUUUGUUCUGCGUAUUGUUCUGAGUGUGACAGGAGCUCUGAUGCUGAGGUGUGAGGGAGGGGAUGUGAGAAAAGGCGGCUAAGAUUGCAGGCUGCGUUUCCCAGCCCUGACCUGCGGGCGUCCCUUACAACACAACGCUCGUAUCGACAGGCUUACAGGCUCUGAUGAAAGCUGCUGAAACUUGCACCGAGGCCGCACGAGUACAGCCUGAUUUGGUGCUAUUCAUUACUUCCACGUUUGUUGCCCAACCUAAACCCUUGUUGUGAUGGGGCGGUAAAACGAUAACUAACUGACUAACUGAUUGAUAGCAACUGCAACACAAGUGUUGUUUUGAGCAAAGCUCAGCUGAUGCCUGUUGAGAGAUAUAGAACAGAAGCUUUCCCCCGUUACUAAAGCGGAGCUGCAAUAGCUCUCUUAGUAGGCUGGAAUGUCAGCUUCCAUUGGGAAACUGCUGGUUUGUCUGGGUGUACAAUCAAUGAAUAUACAGAUGCUGUAGCAUACCCAGGAGCUUGGCUGAUGUAGUUAGUCAGUUAUUAUAUUGGAGCAGGAAAAGAAAGACACAAAAAAAACACACUCACCUGAUCCUGGGCUCGUGAAAUAGACUCCAGCGGAGCAGGUCUCCAGAAGAGAUCCUUCCCCACUGGCAGUCAGCUCUUAAAUGGCUCUAGGAGAGGUGCAGCCAGGCUCCACCCCUUCCUGCAGCACAGGUGAAUUGCCUUCACCUGUGCUCCCGUGGCUGACUCACUGCUCGCCUCAGGUGAUCAAUCAGAGGCUCAGGCUGUGAUUCAGCAGCCCCAUCCACUGGGAAAGCUGAAUUUUUUACUUAAUGUCCUAUAAAAUAAAAAUAAUAGUGCCUCUCUUA